AAAAAUUCAUAAACUCUCCUUAGAAGGGAGGAUCGCAAAGAUGUUAGUGGCUUCAUUUGGCUCAUAAUCCAACAUUUAUCUUUAUAUUUCAUAUUUCUAAACCGCCCAUCUCCCGCAUAGAGGAGCGCUGAUGCAGAGAGCAAGGAGGCUUCGCACAUCCUCUGCCUGCUAUGUUGUUAAAAACAGGAGUGUAAUUUACACAUCUCCAUGAAUCACAGUGUUUUGCCAAAACUCCAAGGUUCGGGCGUAUUGCUUAAGAUUAAUCAAUUUUGCUUCCUCGGAAUAAAGACAGUAUACUAUCUAUCGUUACAUAUUUGAGGUAAAUAAAGAAUUGCUACGCCUUAAGGCUAUAAACAGGGGUUCUCAACCUUGGCAACUUUAAGACUUGUGGACUUCAACUCCCAAAAUUCCUCAGCCAGCUUUGCCGAACUGGGAUCGAUAAACUGCAAUUUGCCCCACGUGAUGAAGACACUGCCACAAAAAAGUGUGUUGAAUAAGUAUUUAGGUUGGUUGCGUACUUUCGCCACCUUUGCUUCAAGCGUGGAGGAAUCUAAUUAGAACCGGAAAUGAUGGCUGUAUGACUGAGGAUUUUCAAUUUACCUCUUUGCCAGGCAGUGGUUUUGUUGCGGCUUAUAGAGGAGGGACUGCGUUGCCCAGCAACACGACUCCAACGGUUCUUUAAGGUCCCCUUUCUGAAAGCAAAGUGCUGCGAAAGAAGUUUGUGCGUGAAAGCUUUUGAGUUCUCUAGAAGUUUGGAUAGCAUAGUAGACAAAACGAGCAUUGGAGGAACAAGAAUUUAAACAUAAUUAAAAAGGACUCAUUCAUUUGGGGACUUUUUUGUUUUUCCUCAUUUAAACUGAACAAAAAUCCUGGAAAACUUACAUCCUUCCCUUAUGUAACUGAUCCUAAUAAAUAUUACCAGCCUUUGGUGGAUUUUGGAAAUUUCCACUCAUAAAUAGGACUUUCCUUUCCUAACGAUGGCCAUUCAGAUGUUGCUGAACUACAAGACUGGUGGCUAUCUUCUUGCUGGCUGAAGUACUGGGAGCAAGAUCAAGUGAGCAAUGCCUUCCCGCCAUCCAUUGCCAGUAAAAGGGUAGAUUGUAAUUUUCAUCAUGGGGAAAUUGCUUCUUUGUUCUUUUGCUUUGUUUGAAAACCAGGAUCACCGGAAGUGAUUCACUUGCCAUCUGCUGCCAUUUCAACUAUGCAGAAUUCCAGUUCUACAGAUAGGUUUUACCCUCUUGGUUGCCUGAAGAUCUCUUGCAGAAGGACAGUGUUGGAAGCCCCCUAGAGCAGAGGUUUUCAAGCUUUGUCAGGCCAUGAAGAGAUUACGGAAUAUUCCCAAACUGCAUGCUUCUAACUCCAUGGCUCUGAAAAUCUGAAUUCAGUCAAGAUCAAUAGAUAUUCCCUAUGUUUUUGUCAAGCUCAUGUGGAAAUUAUUUUAAUUGCUUUCUUUAUAUUUGUCUAGUAAAGUCAACUCUUUUUCUCAGUCUGACCUAAGUUAGGAACUGACUACUGUAACUUUUUUUCUUCUCUUCUGCAUUCUUGUCUGAACAAUUAAUAGUUUCUUUUGUUUUUAAGCAUCGCCUCCUAUGCAGACCUUUAUCUAUUCUGAGCUUUUAUUUUCCUGACACCAAUCUCUGUCUCUGGUGAAAUUUCCUAUUCUCAAUGAAAAGGUAGUCUGGAUGUGCCCAAGAUAACAAUAUCCCUUUAAUAAUGUAAUGCACUUAAAAAAAAAAGCCUUAUUGAUGGAAAAAUGUAACUUAAAUUACAGACAAACCAGUUUAUCCCUAAGGGCUUUUUGAAAUCCCAGUAUUAGUCUACUACUGGUUGCUACACUAGCAAAGUUCUACUUUCAAUACAGUAUAAGAUAGCCAUCACAAAACCCCAUUAAGCAACAUAACAGCUAGAGUCUAUUCAUAUCUGGCCUCAUUAAUAUAUUGUGUAUUACACCCACACUUCGUCAUUAUUCUCACUUCAGUGAUACUGGGUCAAUAGCAAACCUAGAUUUGUCUAAGAGGACAUUUUAUCACAUUUCACUCCUCACACCCUCAAUUUCAAUUGACACCAGAGCUUACAUUGACAAUUACGAUUUCGCAUAUUAGUGAAGAUGGUAUUUAACAGAGGAGGAAUUUAUCAUCAAUGCAGAAUGAGGUUGAGGAAGAGAAAGGUGGAAAGCAUAACUGUAUUUCUAAGUCCAGUUAGAGACAGAGGGAUUCAGAUACAUUUUUCUACGUGAGACAAAGGACAAAUCAGCGUUCCUACAUUUUGCCACCUGCUAGUUGAAUCUUACUCAGUACUGACAAUAGCACAAGCAGACAUGUACCUCGUCUGUCAACCUCAUCUCAGUAACUGUCUGUGGCUAAUGAUGGAAUUGGGGUCCUGGGAAAAAGAAAACAAUAGGAUUUACUAGGACCCAUCACUCUCCACCAUUAAUCUCUGCAAUCUCAAUCAUACAUAUGGUAAUUGUCUUUACAAUGGGUAACUAAGACUGAAAAGGAAUAAGAAUAUGCUAGUACCGGUCAUGUAGUCCCAGGGUGGGGAAAUUAAGAUAAAGGCACUGAAAUAUUGGAAAUUUCAGCUAUAGAUUAAUAUCUACCACAGUAUAACCACCCCUUAUUCCUGUGCAAUUUUCAUACAGAACAUACUCUUUUGCAAAUCAAAGAUACAUCAGAAUACACUUUGAAAAUAAAACAUAGGCCCUCAUUGUUUUAUAAGAACAUCAAUAAAAUAUGUGUCACCAAUCUUAGGACAGCAAAAUAGGCAUGAUCUUUCUUUUUCUUUCUUUCUUUCUUUCUUUCUUUCUUUUUCCUUCCUUCCUUCCUUCCUUCCUUCCUUCCUUCCUUCCUUCCUUCCUUGUCAAAGAGUUACAGAAAUCUCUAGCUGCAUCUUCUGUGGCUCCAACUUUUUUAACACUUCAUCCCAAAGUGAGAAGCAGUGAAGGCAAAGAAAGAGAGACCAUCAAAGCUAGCUCAUAUCCCAGCAAGAGUGGCAUCAGAAACAAAACCUGGAGGAGGCAGCCUUGUGUAGGUGUAGCAGGAGGGCUCUUUGGACAGAAAACAUAAAGGAGAAAAACACAAAGAGGCCGUCUGGAGCUCUCCUACACAGACACAUGUGUAUACAUAAAUCAGUCAAAGCAAAGCUGAAGAACAGGCAGACUCAAAAUCUUGCACAGAUACUGAGACAUCUGCUGGGUUGCAGAAGGAAGGCUGGCAGCCAGAACUUUUGGUUCUGGCACCAAAUCUGGCUGAGAGAGCAGUGAAUUACUAGAUUGUAAGGAGGUUAUGAUCAGGGCAGAUCAAAGCUGCCAGAACAGUGACUUUGUUUCCAGAACUCUGAGCACUCGGAACAUUUUUCUCCAUUUUUCAAACAACAACAACAACAGAAUUAAUCCGAACAAAGAGGAGGAUGCUUCCAGGCUCCAUAGACCCUGCUGCCAUGACUGGGACAGAGAGGUGAGAACACUUCAGCACAAAGGACAGGAUAACAGAUUCUGCCCUCUUUCAUUGAAGCUCAACAAACAACAAACUCCUUUAAAACAAGUGUUGCUGCUGAUUGAAACUGCUCAAGCGCUGACUCAAAAAUAAGGUACUGAUUCAGAUCUAUCAUGUGUCAACCCUUUCCAGCAUUCCUAAUGGUUUCCAUCAUUCUUAUGCGGCCAGGAUCUUUUGCUCAAGAGUUUCCCAUUCAGAGUCAACAUCAUGAUCAAUAUUGGUACCAGACAGCAAUAGAUCAAAUCCCAAUGAUCCGUGAGUUCCUUCUGUUCUGGGAAAGAGGAAGGUUGAGUAUACAAGCCUUCAUUUUGGAAAACUUUUGAGUUUAUUGUCUUUUCCAAAGUUAUCUGAUCGGAUAAUAGUUUGGGCAUUUCUUGUUAACUUCACUGUUUGAGCACCUCCAUUUGUUUUUACACCCAAAUAGAAUUACUAUAUACUUCAGGUCUUAAAAUGUGAAGGGGAGAGUCUUCCAGAUAGCAUAGUGCUCCCGAAGUAUCACAGGACAAAGCAACUCCACCCAAGUGAUACCAAAUUUGGUAAUGCAAAUAACAACUUCAAGUAACUAUCAUCCAGAUCCAUUCCAAUUUGCUUGCAGUUGUCACAUCACAAGAGGUAAAGUAGUGGAUAUGUGUGCAUCUGUAGAAGCUGACACCAGAUUAGAACCUUUACUCUUCUAUGUUAGGAAAAAAAAAAGGUGCAGCAGACAAAAAUCCUCAUUGCUGCUUCCUCCUCCAAUCUUUCCUCUUAACUGCUCCCCACCGCAGAUGGGGGCACCUGCAAAGUGAUUGCUAUCAAACGCUGCUGCAACCGCAACCAUAUUGAGGAACGGUCCCAAACUAUCCAGUGCUCCUGUCUCCAAGGCAAAGUGGCUGGGACAACCCGUGGCAAACCUUCUUGUGUGGAUAGUAAGUACUAGGAGCCAAGAUCUUUCUUCCUCCUACCUAACCCAAAGUGGCAGGAAAACCCAAGUGGAUAUAAGGAGGACCAAGAAUCUAAACAAUAAAAAUCCUGGGAAGAGAGUAAAACAUAAAGAAGAAAUCCCCCCCCCACCAAACAUGCAUAAACAGAUAUUGAUGAGGAUGAGGUUUGCUUGGCAAGUAGAUUGAAGAUGAUUAAAGGGCUUGAUAGUUGUAGCUUAUUAGAUGACUGUAUGCAUGUUCUAUAUUGGUUCUUUCAGGCCAGAUAUAAGUAGGGGUUAUGGUAGUUUUAAAGUCCUUGGAUGGCAUUAGUAAUUUAUUAUGCUAAAACUUCCAUGAUAAAGCAGGAUAUUUGAUUCAAGCAGGGCAGAGACAAGUUAGUUUCCGUUGCUGCAGCGUGGAAUUCAAGAAGUUCCAUCUGUCCCUGGUCUAUAACCUCUUGAUGCCAAGAGGCCCAGAGAGACUAGAGGCACUCCAUCUUGACCACAAACCUACUGAAUUGCCAUCUCCAUGCUGGGCAAGCUACCAACAUCAAUAAAGACCAUGGGCUUUAAGGAGGGAUGGUAACAAGCGUCUCCCUCUAUUCUACAGCCUCCAUUGUGACAGGGAAGUGGUGGUGUGAUAUGCAGCCCUGCCAGGCUGAAGAGGAGUGCAAAGCAUUGCCUGACAACUCAGGCUGGAUGUGCUCAUUAGGAAACCGUGUUAAAACCACCAAGGUAAGGUCUCCCACA